rnacentral:rRNA from 1 species
GACGAACGCUGGCGGCGUGCUUAACACAUGCAAGUCGAACGAUGAAGCGGUGCUUGCACCGUGGAUUAGUGGCGAACGGGUGAGUAAUACGUGAGUGACCUACCUUUGACUCUGGGAUAAGCCUGGGAAACUGGGUCUAAUACCGGAUACGACCAAUCUCUGCAUGGGGUGUUGGUGGAAAGCGUUAUGGAGUGGUUUUAGAUGGGCUCACGGCCUAUCAGCUUGUUGGUGAGGUAAUGGCUUACCAAGGCGACGACGGGUAGCCGGCCUGAGAGGGUGACCGGCCACACUGGGACUGAGACACGGCCCAGACUCCUACGGGAGGCAGCAGUGGGGAAUAUUGCACAAUGGCGCAAGCCUGAUGCAGCGACGCCGCGUGAGGGAUGACGGCCUUCGGGUUGUAAACCUCUGUUAGCAUCGAAGAAGCGAAAGUGACGGUAGGUGCAGAGAAAGCGCCGGCUAACUACGUGCCAGCAGCCGCGGUAAUACGUAGGGCGCGAGCGUUGUCCGGAAUUAUUGGGCGUAAAGAGCUUGUAGGCGGUUGGUCGCGUCUGCUGUGAAAGGCCGGGGCUUAACUCCGGUUUUGCAGUGGGUACGGGCUAACUAGAGUGCAGUAGGGGAGACUGGAAUUCCUGGUGUAGCGGUGGAAUGCACAGAUAUCAGGAGGAACACCGAUGGCGAAGGCAGGUCUCUGGGCUGUAACUGACGCUGAGAAGCGAAAGCAUGGGGAGCGAACAGGAUUAGAUACCCUGGUAGUCCAUGCCGUAAACGUUGGGCACUAGGUGUGGGGGACAUUCCACGUUUUCCGCGCCGUAGCUAACGCAUUAAGUGCCCCGCCUGGGGAGUACGGCCGCAAGGCUAAAACUCAAAGGAAUUGACGGGGGCCCGCACAAGCGGCGGGGCAUGCGGAUUAAUUCGAUGCAACGCGAAGAACCUUACCAAGGCUUGACAUGCAUUAGAUCGCGUCAGAGAUGGCGUUUCCCUUCGGGGCUGGUGUACAGGUGGUGCAUGGUUGUCGUCAGCUCGUGUCGUGAGAUGUUGGGUUAAGUCCCGCAACGAGCGCAACCCUCGUUCUAUGUUGCCAGCGGUUCGGCCGGGGACUCAUAGGAGACUGCCGGGGUCAACUCGGAGGAAGGUGGGGAUGACGUCAAAUCAUCAUGCCCCUUAUGUCUUGGGCUUCACGCAUGCUACAAUGGCCGGUACAGAGGGUUGCGAUACUGUGAGGUGGAGCUAAUCCCUUAAAGCCGGUCUCAGUUCGGAUUGGGGUCUGCAACUCGACCCCAUGAAGUCGGAGUCGCUAGUGAUCGCAGAUCAGCAACGCUGCGGUGAAUACGUUCCCGGGCCU